rnacentral:rRNA from 1 species
CAGUAGCCACGGUAAUACGAAGGGUGCAAGCGUUACUCGGAAUUACUGGGCGUAAAGCGUGCGUAGGUGGUGGUUUAAGUCCGUUGUGAAAGCCCUGGGCUCAACCUGGGAAUUGCAGUGGAUACUGGGUCACUAGAGUGUAGUAGAGGAUAGUGGAAUUUCCGGUGUAGCAGUGAAAUGCUUAGAGAUCGGAAGGAACAUCUGUGGCGAAGGCGACUAUCUGGGCCAACACUGACACUGAGGCACGAAAGCGUGGGGAGCAAACAGGAUUAGAUACCGGGUAGUCCCUGUCUCUUAUACA